GUCCCAACUUGAUAGAAUGAUCAGGUUUGGAGGUUUUAGCCUUCUCUUGGUUGAUCCAUCACCAAUGCCAAAAGAACCCUGGUUCUGACCCUAAGCCCAGUCCUAAUCCAGUUGAAGACAGAGAAAUACAGAUGAAUGGAGAAGAUGGCAAUCAAGCAAAAAGUUAGAGGUGGGAACACUGAGUGAUCAGCUAUAAUCUUAGUAAGCACAGAGAAGCUGUGAGAUCAUUUUAAAAAUGUAUUUGGUCUUCUUCCUGGGUUCCUGGCACAGAGCUCCUAAAAUGCUUUGAAUUUCAUGACUGAUGGGAUUACCUUUUGUUAUUCAUAAUGAGCCCUGUGAGAUCACACUGAAGCUUGUGUUAACAAGGUAACUUAAGAUGGGGUCCCUAGAUAGCUUCAGAACAGGAUGGUCACUAAAAAGACCAAGUGAUUGGAAGGUUGGAACUUUCAGCCCCACCCUCUGACCUCUAGGAAGUGGUAUUAUACAGCUUUGAGCUCUAUAAACUCUUGAACAACAGAUUCAGAGAGCUACUAGGUGCUGGGAGGUGACACACCCAGAGAGGGCAUUGAAGCUCUGUGCCACCCUCAUCCUACCCCCCCAUACCUUGCCCUCUGCAUCUCUUCCAUUUGGCUGUUCCUGAGUUGUAUCCUUUAUAAUAAGUCAGUAAAUUUGAAUUCUUUCUUCUGAGGAGGCAAGAAUUGAGGUUGCUGCAGAGAUAUAUGAAUUUGCCACUGAUAACCGGGAUAUCUUCCACUGGUAACAUACCCAGUUGAUAUCAGAGAAUUGAUGAGCAUCGGAAACCACCCCAGAGAAGCUAUACAUGACUCUGGUUACCCAUAAUGUGUCAACUGCACAAAGUGCUGGGGAAUUGAAGACAAGACAUGAUCCUGCCAGACAGUGACACAGUGUGACUAAAACGUUUGUGGGGAAGGCUGACCAUCCGAUUGGGUGAUGGAAAUCUGUCCACCAGAUGGCGGUCAAGAGACUCCAGUGUAACAAAACAACUACAGAAAAAUUAAAAAGGGAAAUUUGCCCCGUGGAAGAAUAAAUAGCGCUAUGACUUCUAUUUCACGUGUACUUUUAUGUUCUAUUAAACACCUAACAGUUACAUUCUCCAAA